CUUCCGUAGGGUGACCUGCGGAAGGAUCAUUACCGAGUGUAGGGUUCCUAGCGAGCCCAACCUCCCACCCGUGUUUACUGUACCUUAGUUGCUUCGGCGGGCCCGCCAUUCAUGGCCGCCGGGGGCUCUCAGCCCCGGGCCCGCGCCCGCCGGAGACACCACGAACUCUGUCUGAUCUAGUGAAGUCUGAGUUGAUUGUAUCGCAAUCAGUUAAAACUUUCAACAAUGGAUCUCUUGGUUCCGGCAUCGAUGAAGAACGCAGCGAAAUGCGAUAACUAGUGUGAAUUGCAGAAUUCCGUGAAUCAUCGAGUCUUUGAACGCACAUUGCGCCCCCUGGUAUUCCGGGGGGCAUGCCUGUCCGAGCGUCAUUGCUGCCCAUCAAGCACGGCUUGUGUGUUGGGUCGUCGUCCCCUCUCCGGGGGGGACGGGCCCCAAAGGCAGCGGCGGCACCGCGUCCGAUCCUCGAGCGUAUGGGGCUUUGUCACCCGCUCUGUAGGCCCGGCCGGCGCUUGCCGAACGCAAAUCAAUCUUUUUCCAGGUUGACCUCGGAUCAGGUAGAGGAUACCCGCUGAACUUAAGCAUAUCAAUAAGCGGAGGA
rnacentral:rRNA from 1 species